GCCUCCAUUACUCCGCGUGCGACCUUUAGCAGGCGCUUUCCCUGGUAUCGGAGGUCAUCUCUCCGGGCUACUUCUUGCCUCCCCAUGGACUCCACUGACUCAACGCAUGGCCGACGGCAAGGGCUUCCGUUGGCCUCCGAGGUUGUCGCCCUCCCCUGCACUGGCCCUUCCUCCCGUCGCUUCCCCUCCGACCUCCACUUAUUCUGAACGCAGCCGCCGGCGAGGGCUUCCGCUGGUCCCCAGUUCGUCAUCCCCCUGCACGACUCCGCAUGCAGCCACCGGCAAGGGCUUCCGCUGGUCCUCGAGUUCGUCACCCCCCUGUACUGACUCUUCCGCCGGCUGCAUCUCGCGUCCCCUCCAGCUUGCACGACUCCACACGCAGCCACCGGCGAGGGCUUCCGCUGGUCCCCGAGUUCGUCAUCCUCCUGUACUGACUCUUCCGCCGGCUGCAUCUCGCGUCCCCUCCGGCCAGCACGACUCCACACGCAGCCGCCGGCGAGCGAUUGCUCUACUCCCCGAGGUCAUCGGGCUAAGCGCCCUCGUUGUGCCCCCUUCAUCCCGGCCACGAAGCGCGCUCUGUUUUCGUUGGAAUCCAGAUUAUGUAAAUCGCGUUUGUGGAAAAACAAGUAAUAGUCGUUUUUCCAUAUACCUGAAAUCUGAGUUUUUGGAAAACUAAGUUUUCUGCAUACGCGGAUUAGUUGGAGUUGCCAAACAGGAUUUUAGUUUUGUUACACCGUUUUCUUGGUUUGUAGAGAUCCGGUUUUGUAUAUACUACCUAUCCAUUAACGCCUUAGACUCUGAGCUGGUACUGCAUGGCAAAAAAAUGAUGAUAGUUCCCUGCAAUUAACUCUUUUUUGCAGGGGGCGGCCAUGGGAGGGGAGGCGAAUCGGGGAGGCGAUGCUGUGCUCCGGCGCCGGAUCAAGCUGCGGGGGAGGCGGGAGCCACGCGAGGAGACGAAGGAGGAGAAAAUGAAGAGGCAUGGAGGAGAGGCGGGCGAGCGGGAAGGGCUGGGGCGUCGCCCACGACGCCGAGCUUGACGGCGGCCUUGCGAUGGUGCAGUCGGCGAGGACCUGUCGGAUCUGGCCGGAUCCGGUGGGAAAUUGCGCGCAAGCGGCGGAUCUGGAAGGAAGACGGCCGGAGCUUGGAGCACAAUGGCUGGUGGACGCGCCAUGGCCCACGCCGGCGAGAGAAGAGAGAGAUGAGUGGGAGAGAAAAGAGAGAACGGGAAGGAGAUGAGAGGCCAGAGGGAGAGAGAAGGGAGUGGUGGUCACUUCAACGGGCUGCAGCGUGGCACCGCCCCGGCCGCUGAGCCCGCCCGACCGCCCCAUCGCCGAGUCGCCACCCCCACUGACUGCCCCGUGCUCGCCCUUAGACCAAGUCGAGCCAGCGAUCGUUGCCCACAUCACCGAACCUCGCUCCCCUUCUCCACCCCAGCAAGCACACACGCUUGGAGGCGCCAAGGAGCUCGCCGGCAACACUCAGCAGACGUAGGAGAGCUGCGUGCAUGGUGCGUUUGAAUGUGCGGACGCGAGGCAGUGGAGGGCUCAGCAAGUUAACAAAUUAUAUUGCCUUGUACUACUUUUUAACAACUUGGCUCCUACGAAGACUAAUGGAAGGAUCAUUAGACCAACGUAGUCAAAUUGGCUGCUUCAAAUUUUUGGCCUUGGAGCUGAUCAGCAGCACGCGGACAUGCAUCAGGAAGCCGACGGACAGCCAGAGCAGGAAGGCGUGGAUCUUGAGCUGCAGCGACAACAACAACUUGGGCGUUGCCUGCAAAAAAAAAACAACAGUUCAAGUGCUCAAUCAAGUGUAAGUUUAAAUUCAGUCAAUUAUUGCAGUUCUACAAUGACACAUUCAGAUUCUUGCAUCCAAAGUUAGAUAGGAACAGGGAAAGAAUCUCCAACGCUUAUUUACAUGGGAAAGAACACUCUUGUAACUUUGGUUCAGAUCCUCAGUCUAUCUGAAGCACCAUAGAUUGAGUUUGCAAGCAAAAGGAUCACACAAUCUGACAUUACAAAGAGCAAUCUUUUUCUUCACAUCUUUGUUUUAGCUUGCAUCCGACAGUUGUGUGAUCCAAGAUUAGGCAACCAAAACUAAACUUAUGACUACAUGAGUGCAUGAAGAACUGUUAAUAACUCUUAUUUGACUAAUCUUUGGAUUGACUGGAGAUGAGAUUCUCUGGCUUUGGGGAUGGUCCUUUGGCGUUCUAUUGGGGUUCUAUUCAUGUGCACUAGGCACUUCUCAACACUUCAAUAAUUAUUCUAGAACCUCUUUAAAUUUGCAAUGCUCAUCAGAUUGUACAGGUUUUGCAGUCAACUAUUCAGAUUAUUGACUAGGGACGAUAUUUUCAGUCCUACUGAGUCUGCAAAGGAUGCGCCAAGCCAAGAUUAAUUAUGGUUUUUGUAAAUUGCAUCGGUUUACUUAUGUACCUGCUCCUUAGAUGGUUGUGAAUUUGUGAUUCAGUCGUGGAAAUUUUGGUGCUUUCUUCGAGUGUCCUGAAAAAUGGUUCAACGCGUGUUUGCCAGAAACUGUAGAUUAGCAAGACUAACGAGUGUUGAGCAUGUCAAUCUAUGUGUGGGCACGAGUGAAAAUGUAAAUCAUGUUAGAGACGAGUUUCUGGAAAAAGUCCCGGAGACGCGCUGCUGCUGUUGCUGCUCUUGGUAGCCAAAGUGGAGGCUGCAGUUCUAAGACUUCAAGGAGGACAGGAAUACAUGGUUGCUUCUUGGAAAGAUAAAAAUUGUUAUUGGUCACUCAAUCCUAAGCUGUUGUGGAUUAAUUUGAUUUGAAUUGGAUUGUACUCCAAGAGUCCACAAGAUGUCAUUUCCGAAUGUGGUACUAAUUUCAGAACAUAGCACCAUUUUCUAAAAAUAAGGCUGGGCAACAUGAGCCAACCACAUGGAUGUUUCAAGAGGAAUAAACUCACUGUAGCUGCCGAAUUGGUAUUAGUAAGUUGCUGUUCCAACUUCCUAGAGAACCACAGGUUUUUUUUUUACUAUUAUUAGCUGCAGCACAUGGCGACAAUGACGAGCACUUGUAUUUUUAAGUGUUGCACCUCUUUUUCGUUGACCUUUGAUUCAUGUAUAUAUGUAAAUUAUAUUGAAAUGUAUCAUAGCAAAUGUGAAUACAUAACUCUAUGGUUGAUGUCUCUAUUGAUAUUGAUGUGUCUAUUAA